UGCCUCGGCCUCCCAAAGUGCUGGGAUUACAGGCGUGAGCCACUGCGCCUGGCAGUUUAAUUUUUUUAUGGCUGAUGGCCACACACAUGAUAUUCACAACAAUCCAAAAAUGCAUGAUAAUGGCACAAAAGGCAAACUCAAAAAAUGUAUUUUUUACAAGGUAUUAUGAAAAGAGAAUAAGACAAAUUAUAUAGCUCUUGAUAUGCAUGCAUAUAGCCUUUCAUUAGCUCUUUUAUGUUUUUAAAGAAAGUAUCAAGUGCAAAAUAUUUCAUUUUAUUUGUUUAUUUAAAGAGCACACAUGCAACAACCAUGUGUCCUCUCGGAGCAUGCAUUGCAAGACAGUAUAUUGGGUAUGUUGGAUAUCCUGUGUUUUUUUCUCUAGCUUCACUUACCACUCUUACCACCCUGCUCUGGGAAUUAGGACUCUGAUCUACCCAAGCAGGCCUCCUCUGACUUCUGGUUGAGUUGGGAAUCGGGAGUACCAGCAGGAGAUCAGAAGGAGGAGGGAGAGAGAAGACAGAAUAUUUAUUUCCUAGGCCCUUAUCUUGCAGGGAGGAGAGAACACUUUGGGUCUGCUGCAUCCCUUGACCUAAAGUCACAGAUACUGUCAAGAAGGACAGCAAGUAGUGGGAAACAAGAUGGAUUAAAUUCUAUGUCAUUUAAAAUGCUGUUCUACCAUCUUUUGGUAGAGUCAUCUGAAGAUGGUAGGUUUCAUUAAACAUUCUCCAUCUAAGCUUUCUCCAUCGUGGGUUUCUGCUCCAUUGACUUCGUUAGCCUGAGGUUGGUCACAAUUUCCCCAUUAACCAGUCCAGGGGUACUUUUUAUAGGUUCCCCAUAUUCUGAUGAUGCCCUUAAAAUAAUGCCUUUAAAAGAUUAUCUUCAAAUUGUACAAUGUGUAUGUGCCCUUUCUUUUCUUUCUGGACUCUGAUACCCUGAGAAUGGAUAUUUAAAAGAUAGUGUAGUGUAGGAUAUACAGUAAUAUUUGUUUAGAAUUUUUUAAAAAUUUUGUUUCUACAUCUUUUUUAUUGAGAUAGUUUAAUUGAAAAUGUGCAUGCAUGGAGGGAGAGUGUACCCAAUAGGAGUUUGGGAAAAGUAAGAUUUCAAUCCCAAUAAUUAAUUUGGGGAGCAUUUAUUUGGUUUCUUUAAUAUUACAGGCUCUGAGCAAAAAUUUCAAAUACUGAGAUGAAUUUAUAGCUAUGUUCAGCUAUAAGCCUUAAAGAGAUAAGGCCCCAGAAAACUUAGAUUUUAUUUUUUACAGCAACCUUCAAGUACAUAAUAGCUAUUGUAAUAAAAAUAAUAGCUAGAAUUAUUUAUAUGGUUAUAAUAAAUAAUAAGAAAAGAUACAAACAUUGUCUUGAUUUUUUAGUUUCUUUUGAUGGUUAUUUUGAAUUCUGUAAAGUAAUUCUGCAGGCAACUUUACAAAAGUGCAACUUUGGCAAUUCAAGAAUAUUUAUUAAAAACAAACCAUUAAAUUUUAUUUGGGCAACUCAAUUUUGAUGAGAGUAAAGCUGAGGUUAACUGGUAUGUAAAGUUAAAAUUCCAACAGUGUAUGAGGAUCAUUCUCCCUCCAAUUGUUUACAGGCAUAUACAUUCACUCACACACAGCCCCACACACUCACACAGACACAUUCACACACUUACACACACUCACACAUACUCAGUGAAUAACUCUUACAGUUCUAACUUUAUACCUGUGGUACUUUUGGUUCUGUACCUAUGUAAAUAUAUAAAACAUGGGAACUCUUCCUGUCUCAUGGUAAGAUGAGGGUAAUAGUAAGGGAAAUAUAUAAAUGUUUCCAUCCAGACCAUUAUUUUAUACACAUAUCAAGCAAAUAUAAUGUAAUAGUGAUAGUUUUAAAACCUUUCAUAACACUGCCAUUUUUAUCACCCAGGUGUGCAUGCAAUAAGCAUUUUAUAAAAUAUUUUCAUAUUCUGCAAGUUUUUCUUGCCUCUGAGGCUCCCCACCCAUUUUGUCAAUGGCAGUUGUCCCUCCAAGAGAAGGGCGGAUACCAUCUGGAACAAAGAGGGCAUUGAUCAGGCCUGCGUUUUAAAGCCAACUUAAAAAAAACUUCUAGCAAGAGACUUGAGCCUUUUAGUGAGUGAAAGAGUUGUGUUUCCUAAAAUGCUGAAAAGAAACAAAAAGAGAGAAGAGAAAAAAAAGAAAGUAAAAGAAGGAAGGAAAGAAAGAAAAAAGGGAAAGAGACAAAGAAAAGGAAAAAAAUCUCUCUUGUUCAAAUAUCAAAAGCAAAGAUGGGGAAUUUUGUCCAUAAACCCCAAGAAGAGCGAAAGCAAAAGGAGAAAGUAGAGAGGGUUAUGGUCAAUGAGGUAGACACUGCGAGAGACCCAGGCACGGAAAGAAGUGUAUCCUGAGUUUACCCCUCAGGCUAAACCCUAGGGCAUGGUGAAAGCAAGUAUGGGUGGGUGUGGCUUUCAAAGGCUGUUAGAAAACAUGUAAAAGAGAAACUGCAGAAUCCCAAAACAGUAGGAUUUUUCUUCCCUUCCUGGGCACUGCCUGGGAAGAUUAGAUAUCACCCCAGAGAAAUGCUCCAUCCACUGUGGCACCUUGUAGACCAGUGCUACUCAAAAGUGUGGUCCUGAGAAGGCGCUGGCCUGUAACACUUUGUUAGACCUCUCAUCUACACUGAGAUAAGUUCUGAAGGGCACAAUAAGGAUCUGGAAACUUUUAAAGCAAUUUCAUAGUCUCAUGCCUCUUGAAUCAAAUAAUAAUUUGUAAAAACUGAGGCCUGUACUGUAUACCUCAUUGUUGUUUUGUUUGUAGUAGUUUUUACUGUAUUUUACAAAAAUAUUGAACUGUAAUGGGUUGAAAAGGAAAAACUCAGUAUAGAUAGUUUGGGAAGUGUUAUGCUAUUCAUAUUCUUAUGGCCUCAGCCACCACAAUACAUGGCCCAUCGAAAAACAGAAAUUUAGAGCACAGAUAAAAAAUACCAACAAAGUACAGCAUAUGCCAUUUCUUCAGCAACAUAUGUCAUAUGCUGAAUUGAGAAAAUGUGUUACAAGUGGCUAAGAGAGGGCUCAUCCAGAGGGCUGAAAGUCCUGCUCCCCACUUCUCUUCUAACACUGCACACACCUGAGUCUCAUGUGCCAUGGGAAGAAGCCAAGACUAUACAUAUUUGACCAGUAGGGGACAUAGGAGGUACCUGGAUGGAAACUCCAGGAGUCAGCUGUGGAACUAGAGCAGAGCGAUCCCACUGCUAAAGGGCAGAUGGCCUAAACCACAGCUGGAGGAAGGAUUUAGCUGAUACUCAGACAAGCUCAUAGUGCUAGUGAGAGCCGAGGUAGGAUGGAACCAGCAUGAGAACAGCCCAUGAGUCCACUAGACCCAGAGGUCUCACAGGACACCAAGAGACUGGCACUUAGGCUAUUUCUUCAGAGGUCAGUGAGGACCAAAUGGCCAUCCAUUCAUUCCUGACAUCCCUGGGCAUACAUGCCUUCUAGCCAAGCAACUCAUGGUCUUGAAAAUUCCUGAUAGAAACCAUCUUGGGAAUGCAGGUGCGGAAUAGUGGAAGGACUAAGGAUUCACUUCAAAGUGACUGCCCCAAAGAAAUUAUACACUUCAAUUCAACAGCCACAUUGUUCUCAUUACCCAGAAGUAUGGUAGCUUGAGAGCAAAAUUACAUAAAAUGUAGGAAAUAAAGAAAUACUUUUUUUAAAAAAACUAACUGGUAGUGCAUAAAUUAUUAACCCUGCUGUACACUCAAUAAAUAGUGACAAUAAAAACCAUGCCUAGCAUAUAGUACACUAUUAAUAAAGGCUUGCUGAAAUAGUAAGAGGAACUCCCAUGAAUAUUACAUCUCAAAUAUUGGCACACAAGCAGAAUUAGGACCUAUAGGACCUGUAGAAGCUCCCUCUUCUUGCAGGGUGACAGGAUCACAACUUUGUUGCCUAAUAUUUUAAGUGAAGCAAGUAAAUUGUGUAAGAGUCAUAGCCAUGGAGAUUAUUAAUAACGUCCUGAAUAAGUGCUCAGAUAGGAAGUUCUCCAAGUCAUGGGGAUGGGUCUUAGGAGAGAGGAUUUGAUAUUUAUUCACUUUUAGAUUUGCUGGGCUUUCCAAAAGGAUGGGAUAUAACAGGUCAGGGUGAUCUGUCCCUGAACUCUACACGGAGACUUCAUCUUAGUAAUCCCAAGCCCUCUCUCAGGUAUUGCCUCUGACUUUUGAUGACGUCUAGUAGGCAAUGAUCACUAGUCAUUUUUUCAAUAAAUAUUUAUAGAAUCCUAGUUGAUUUUUGGAUGCUGAGGCCUUAAAGAUAAUUAAAGUUGAUUUUUAGAUUUAAAGAGCAUUCUUCCCACUCAAGGAGAUCACAUUGCAGUGGGGGAAGCACAAAGGUAAACUGAGAGACACAGCUGUGGUCAUCGGCAUAAUGAGAGAACAAGGAGCUAAAGAGGAAUGGACCCGGGGACACGGCUAACCUUUUCUAGGCUUGCUCAGGAAGGGUUUCCUGAGAAGGCCUAAUUGGAAUCUUUUGGGCUGAGCCGUGCAUAAUUCAGAGUUCAGAGUUCACCAAGGGCGGAUGGUAGAUUCAGUCAGGCUAGGGGAAGGAAACAAUGCGGAGAGAAAAAGCUGUAUGUUUAUAUGGCAGUAGAAUUGACCGGCUGGAGGAACUUGAGAUGUUUUGGUGAUUGGAGCAUGAAGCAUGAGUGUAGUUCAUGUCCUGGCUGUUAGGAUAAGGCAAGUGUUAAGCGAGGGAACUGAACAAGUCUGCAGAAUCAUAUUACGUGUCAUGGAAGGGUUUGAAGAUGGAAUCACCUGCCUGGAUUUGGUCUUGGAAAUUUUGUUCUAGAAAUUAGAUGGCAGGUAGGGUGGAGGGAAAAGAUGGAAGAUUAAAGAGUCUAAAACCAGCUUGCAAAAGCCGGUAGACGAUAGUCAAGAUCUUCGGAUCGCCCAACUCAGACUCACUCAGAUCUUUGCUGAGAGAAAGGGGAUCUCUUCGCUUGCAAACUGGAAAUAGAGAUCAUCAGGACCGGCUAAUCUCAGGUCUGUCACGUGAAUUCAAUGUCAUAGAGAGUUUCUACUUUUCUCCGUGGUUAUACACCUCUCCUCUGGAAAAACUAAGAAACUGAGCAAAUGGUCCAUUCUCUCAGUUUUUUAAUCCCAAAUCCUAUAAGAUGUUUUGCAUAUUAGUAUUGUCCUUACCAAGAUAAGCUUUACUGCAGUGCUUAUUAAUUCGGUUCCCUUCUGGUUCUGGAGUCCAACACACAGAUGAUUUUAGGUUUUAUUCUAUGGCACUAGAAACGUCAUACCUAUUUGGGUGCCACUAUUUUAUUUAAUGCAGAUAUACUUGCAUAAUCUUUUUGUUUUUUAAUAUCUGACUCUUUUCCCUAUCUGCAAAUCCUAGUCAGGAUGCAAUUUUCAUCCCCAAGAUGACUUCUCUUAUUAAAUUAUUUUUUUAACAUUGAAAGAAGCGUGUGUGUGUUCCAGCUCAAAUAGAGAGAGCCUGUUAGACGAGUUGAGUAGGGUACAAGGAGAGAUGUAUGUUCUAACAUUUCUGUCUCCUGCAUCGUUUGUAAAUCCUUUUUUUUUUUUUUUCCACAUUGGCCAUUUCCAGUCUAAACCUUUGGAAGCAUAUAAUGAUGUCUGCAACAUCAGUCUGUGUUAGUCACAUCUUCUUGUAAUGUAAAAUCCCGUAAAGCUCAGAAUGUGCCUAUGUGGGUAAAACCCUUUCCCUUUUCUUCCCCUUCUUUCCCUUCGUUUCUCAUCCUGAUCUUAGAAUAAGUUUGGCUAGAUCUUUUCAUAUGAUGUUUCAUACUCCUUGGUUAAGCAAAUGUAAAAUUCAUGUCUGUAUAUUCCCGAGAAGCUCUUCCGCAUACUCCUGAGACACCUCCUGUAGUUUCUUUUUGAUAUAAUUGUUCUUUUUCCAUAUUCUUAUUUUGCAUAUUGCUGAAUCUAACACUACUUUUGAAUCCUCAUGACUAGCCUGCCCCUCAUUCUACUCUUGGGGGAAGCAGAUAAAUGCAGAGAUGUAACUCAGAGGGACCCAGGAGUCGGAAAAUCCAGGCUUCUCUGGCUCCUCUCAGAUGGUUCCAAUUGCUAGUAUGACAGUCUUUGCCAAGCAGGGCAUUAAUUUUAACCAUAGAAACCUGGCAAGUCAGGCAAUUCAGCUUAACAUUGCAAUUCGGCAGUGGGAACUAUUAGUUUUGGAUCUGAUUUUAAGUGGUCUCAGAAUACCGGUUACAAACAGAAAGGGUUUCCUGAAGCCAAGUCAUAUGGUGUCCCUGUGUUUCCUUAUCUGUCUUCAGCCAGGCUACCUGGGACCAGAGCAUGUGCUUCUCUACUGUACACAGUCUAAUCCUGUGAGAGGCAGUUGUCCAGCUCUGGUGUUAGUGAAUUUUAUUUUCCUUUUUGCUUUCUUAUUUCUUUAUCUCCAAACUAAUGCAUGUACAUUGUUGGUGGAAAGGAAAGAAAAUACAAAUAAUUUGAAAGCCCUUAAAGGUCUUUUGUAUCUCCACCAAGCAAAAGCAACCCCUUUAAUAACGUGGUGUCUAUCCUUCUAGAAGAGGCAGUGUGGGGAGAAAGAGGCAGAGGGAGGGAGGAUUUUACUUGCAUUUUCUAUUUCCUUGGAACUGCUCCAAAGCAAAAGCACCAAAGCCCUGCUUUGGCCAGGACAGUAUCCACUUUAUCUUGGCUGCACAAGGAUAGCUUAUGCUCCACUGUGGAAGAGGUUGUUCAACCUUCCAUAACCCUGCAAACAAACUCACCCCACCUCUGAGCAACUGGGACUGCAAGGCUACUCUUGACACAGCCCCAACCCCUACCUCUGUUAGCUACAUCUUUCUGGUUGCAAGGCAUGGAGACUAAUUUUCUUAGUAAAAAAUGCGUAUUUAUUAAUGUAUACUUGUAUGCCAUAUUUGCAACAAGCAAUCUGUCUAUGCUUCAGCACCCCCAAGGGCCAACUUCUCCCUGUUUUUCUCACACAAAAUCUUUGGCUUCACUCAGCGUCUGCUCUCCUCUCCUUUUUCUGUGGAUAGGUCAACUCCCUAACCCCCAUUCCAUAUUUCAAAUUAUGGAAGGAAUUCAUCUGCUAGAAGCUACUGUCUCUGUUUUCCAGAAUUUUCUGAGUUAGGCAACCUCCCUAAUCACUGGAUAGACCUUUGGGUCAGGCAUUUGCUCUGAUCCGUUUAAUGGUAGCACUUGUUCAAAAAAAAUGGAGUAGGGCUUCUUUCCUAAAGGAGCAGGGUUGGAAAUGUUUAAGUCCAGCAGGCAGCAAGACCAGCGUGUUCAAUAAUGAGAGUACCAAUCAAAUAGCUGAUAAAGGAAGGGAGGAAAAGAUUUGAGUUAAAGUUAUUUAAAAGUUGAAAAUGACAAGAUAGAACGAGUGAUUGAUUAUUAAACUCUUAGUUUUCUGGCUUGGAUGAAUGGGUUAGGUGGGGUUUCAUUAAGAAAGACAAGAGCUAUAAAAGAGACAAUUUCUUUUGGAAUUUAUAUCUGGGCAUAUUUAGUUAGAAGAAUGUGUGGGGCAUCUAGGAGAUAUCUCUUUGCAAAUACUGAUACAAAUCUAGAGCUGAGGGUACUGAUCUUGCUGUAGAUUAGACUUGGGUGUCAUUACACAUGGAUCGUGGAUGUCAAUCUACUGCUUGAGAACCUCUGCUCUCUCUAUCCUGGAAUAAGGCUAGAUGCAAGAAGGUGACAGCAAAUUGAGCUUUGGAGGGAACACUAUUCCUUUGUAGAGAUAUUUCAUCUCAUCAGAUUUGUAAAUUAAUUACAUGAAUAGUAAAAAAAAAUCAAGCAUCAAUACCUUCAUAUAUUUUUUAAAUAAGACUAUUAGGGUCCACUGUGAUUCUUAAUGAAAUCUAAGGCAACCUGGCUACUAGGAUAAGGCAAGUAAAGGUAAUACUUAUGAAUUACAGCUGCCAUUGAGAUCUAUCAUGGUAAAAAUGUAGGACAUAUUAUGAUGCUAUGCAGUGUGAAAAUCUGUACUGAACUUGGUGGAGAUUGGCAUGAAGUGACUCUUCUUGGCAAAGAAGGUUUAAAAUGUCUUUCCCCUAACCACAGGACACAAGAAAUUAAUUAUGUCAGUGAAACACAGCUGCCAAGGAAAAGGCAGAUCCAGUGCUCAGGUUACAGAGACAGAGAGCUACAGUACCGCCCAGCUAUUCCCAUUGACCAAUAUAGGAGGCAAUUUGCCAAUUUGCAACACAGCUUUGUAAAUAUGUGGUCCCCCAAGACUCUGUUUUGAACAGUACAUAAGCGGAGCCUCAGGAGCAAAGCCUGAAUGAUUGGUUGAAGAAAGGCCUUCCAAAAAAAAAAAAGAUGCAAAUACUACACAGACAUCUUUGUUUUUUGAAAGCUCAAGAUAGAAACUCCACAAAAGCACAAAGAUGUCAGAAGCAAGUAGAGGUUUGGCAGUGCCUUCCUGUCUUCCAUCACCACCACCAUCAUCACUGCUGUAGAAUGGGCUUUGAAAUGAUAAAACUCUGGUUUUUAAAUUCUGGUUUUUUUAUUUACCAUGUGUAUGACUUUGGGCAAGUUGUUAAACUUCAUCUGUAGAAUAAGGAUGUUGCUUAGCAUUGUUGCAAAAUAGAGAUAAUGUAUGCAAAGUACCUGGCACAGGGGUGGUUGUGAAAUGUUUGCAACUUUUGCUUUUUCAAAUUUGUAUAAAUGUAAGAGUUACAAGUGCAGUUUUGUUACAUGUAUAUAUUGUGUAAUGGUGAAGUUUGGGCUUUUGAUGUAACCAUCACCCCAAUAAUGUACAUUGGACUCAUCAUUUUCAAUUGUUAAUCCCCAAAACUUUGUUAGUAAAAGCAAAAAAUACCUGUGAGAAAUCUUCUAGGUUCCCUUAUAAAAUUAUUCUUCUCAAUUUAUUUUUCCUUAAGUUUGGAAAUCUUUCAACUCUAAAAUCUUUUCUGCAUCAUUUAGGUUUUUAGGGAUCUCACCCAAAUAUUUGAGGAGGAUUUACUGCAGUUUUGAUAGAUACAUAGAAUGGUUUGCCAUUUUCUCUAAAUCGUAAGUAAUUUUCAGAUCUAAAAUCAUGCUGAAGAUUCUAUUUUAUGUAUGAAUCUGGCUAUUACUUGAAUGAUUCAGAGACCUCAGUUUCUGCAUGGCAUCUGGCAGGACUUCAGGAAUUUGAGGUUGGAUGAUUGUACCAUCAUCACUGCAUAUUUGGGAUUUUUGUGCUAUUAUACUGAGGAUUGUGUAGCAUCUUCCUAGCAACUUCUUUCUAGUUUGUUGCUAUUAUUGCAAACGUCAGAUCUCAAGCCUUUUGAGUGUUGGGCUUUUUAUGAAGCCAGUAGCCAGUCUAAAAUAAAUUACUACACAUAUGCUGAUAGCAGAAGAUGACGAUAGAGUUAUUUUCCCAUUUAUCCUUUAUUGUUAUAUUUAGAAAGUGAACUUCUGUGGACACUGACAUAUUUGCCUUGUAUUUUUUUGGUUCUUGCUUAUAGCUUGCUCUGUGAAUAGCCUAAAAAUUAUUUCAAUAGUGGUCAUCUACGUUAGCUAGAGGGUAAAUUCCCUAAGGACAUAGACUGACAGCAGAUUUGCUCAGCGUGGGGAGAAGGGAAAUCACCAAAUACGUUUUGUUAAAUUACACCAACUUAGUGAAUUCAUAAUGAAAACAAAUGGCAAAGUUUUAUUGCACCAGGAAAUGCUUUCAGAUGAAGUUCUUUCUGACUAAAUCUGGGGUGAUAUGAAAAGUAACUUAUUCUCCCAAGACAACUGGCAUCUUUUCUUCUGAGACUCACUAGGCUUUCAGGAAAUGCUAAGAUGGAGUUUGAGGUUUGGAAGAGGCUCCUCUAGGCAUAUAGAAACCGAAGUGCAUGUGUGACUUUCUUCUUACUCAAGUGUAUUGAGUAAAGAAAAAUGUUAUCUACAACUUGAUGUUGGCUAAUUCUGACUUAAUAAACACAAUCUUGGACUUGUGUGGACAUGUAAAGCUUUGGUAGCCACAUAUAGCUGAGGACUAACUUCCUUUGGCCUGCCACAUGACUUUCUUGACCCUGACAUGGACACAGUGGAAGGACUAGACUGUCUUUUUAUUAUUUAACAGAAAAUGGAAGAGUCAACCAAAACAAAAGCAGCUGGAGCUGAAAUUCAUUACUGGACAGAGAGGUUGAGAUCAUGCUUAUCAUGCUUAGCUGAGUUUGAAACCUACACCAAGGUCAAGGCCCAGGGUGCGCUAUAAAAAGAUAACUCUUUCCUCCAGGUUGUAGAGAUUUUUAUAAUAGAAAGAAAGAAUUGCCAAAUCUGAACUCUGUCACCGGUAAUUAGCAGCUCCCAAAUGUGGUAAACUGGGUUCCAGUUGCCUCGGAGGUAAUAUCUGACACAGAGAUGACAAGAGAUGCAAGUUUAUGAAUAUGAAAUCUAAAUUAAAUAGUCACACUGAGGAGAUCAUUUUCCCUCUGUUUUUGCUUUGUGUUUUUGGUUAUGAUCCAUUUCAUUAACCUGAACUUCAAGUUUACCCUAUGGUACCCAACCAAGAUAAAAUCUGGGGAUAUAAUUGUCACAAAAAAAUGUCUCAUCUGUUUUCAUUACCCAUUCAUUACAGGCCCUUCUUAUUUUAGAAUCCAUUAAAAAAAUUACAGUAGCUAGUUUACAGAACGUAUUUUAUAGCACUAAUUAUGAUCAUUGAAUUUUGCGUGUUUUUAGGAGUGAUGGCUGUGUACUAUUCUGGUUAUCUUUGUUAUAAAAACAUUGACUUGACUUAGACAUUAUGGGCUUUUCAAAUAUUUUAAAACAGUAUUCAACAACAGACUCAUUCAGUUUCACACAAUUACCUUGGCUUCCAUUCCCUACAUUCCAGGCAACCACUUUUGAGUAGCCCAUUUGUCUCCCUGCAACUCUGAUAUUUUCCUUCUCUUUUCUACCAUUCUCUUUGUAUUCCCAUCCACCCCCAAAUUAUCCCAUUCCUUCAUCCACUGAUCCAGGGAUAUGAGCUGCAUUGCUAAUUUUAAAACAGGGAAAAUGAAAAGUGUUGGUUCUAGAAUGGGAAUGAAUGAGCCUACAGUGAGAAGAGGUGGUUUAGUCUACACUUUGUCUUUCUUGUGAGGCAGCAUACUCACUAUGCACAGGAUCAUGAAAAACAAAAUGAAAUACAACACAAUGCUUUGGCAGUUUAUUUAAUUUUGUGUAUUAGAACAAAACCAAGAACAGUUCUGAAAUGAAAGCCAGUCUUCAAGAGUUUCUAAAUGUUUGGCAUCUGCCUCCUUGCCAAUAAUAUACUAAUGAGCACUUUUGUUCUGUUUUACAAACCUUAUCUAAGUCAUUUUCUAAGUCUGAUUUGUGCUGUUAUAAAUUACUAAGAUGGGGCAACUUAUAAUGAACAGAAAUUUAUUGGCUCACAGUUCAGGAGGCUGGGAAGUCCAAGGCUGAGGGGCUGGCGUUUGUUAAGGGCCUUCUUCUAUGUCAUCCCAUAGUGGGAAGGCAAAGAGAGGGUGAAAGAGAACAAGAAGUGACCGAACCUGUCCUUUCAUGAGGAACCCACUCCUGCAGUAAUGAACCCAUUCAUAUGAUCAUGGCAUUAGUCCAUUCAUGAGGGCAGAGCCCUCAUGGCCUAAUGUCCUCUUAACAGUUUCAUCUCUUAAUAAUGUUACAGUGGUAAGUUUUCAACACAUGCUUUCUGGGGGACACAUUCAAACCAUAACAGUCAUAUACAAUACACAGCACUGAAUGGGAAAGUACAGUUGCCCUCCUUGCUUAGGACAGGAAUAAAAAGUUUCAGGUCAUGCAACAAAUGAUAGAAAGAGGAUUCCAUCCAUCCCCAAAUCUAGUGACAGGCUAUUCAGCUUUCACACCACUAGGGUGUAUGCUUAUUUGGCUGUUGCGUUUUUAUCUUAUCAUAAUCUCUUAAUUCAGGAAAAAUUACUUUACCACCUGAGCCUAUGGUGAAAAAUUAAAAGUAUAAUUCCUGCUAUGCUACUCUACUGCUCUACAAGUAAUAAAGUGAAUUUUAAGAAUUUUCUAAGAUGUAUUUUACAGAUUUUGAAUCAUCAUUGAAUUAGACAUUUUUAAAGCUUAAUUCCUGUGCACCAAAAACACAGGAUUAAGAAUUUGCAGAAUGAAGGGGAAAAAAUGAAGUAAUAAGUUUAAGUUCAAAGAAGUUAAUUUUAUUUUUGACAUUAGGAAUGCUCACAUUCAAGAUCCUUUCUGGUUAUGUCAAAAGGCAUGAAACACUGAGAUCAUAUCUUUACAUUAAUAACGUGAACCUGCAAAGUUCAGCUAUUAGAAUCAAACACAUUGAAGAGGUAAUCUCCUCUCUGUGAAAUCUGUCUAACCUAUAUCUUUGUGAUCUCAAUAAGGAACUGACUCUCAAACGUAUCUUGUAAAUGCAAACAUUCAGAAUGCUGCAAUAUGGUACUUCAAGGUUCUGAGCUUUUCGUGGCCAAUCUAUCACUAAUUAAGUGUAAUUAAAGGAAUAAAAACAUAGUGCUACAAAACUGAAUUUAUAUUUAAAAAAACAGAUGCAUAUUUUGUCUGGGAACUUUGCUGGCAUUAAUAUUUUUGGAAGUGAUAUUAUGAUAGUAAGUAAAUUAUAGAUCAUUUUAUUGAAAGACAGAGUGAGUGUGUACUUAGAUUCCAAAGAUAGUCUUUCAAACUUCUAUUUUCCUAUCAAAAUUAGUCAUCAGAAAUUUUUCGGAUUAAUACUCUCAAUGUAAUGAGAGUAUUAGAAUCUAGGAAAAGAAUGGUGUUUAAAAAAAUAUAUGAGCUAGGCAUGGUGGGUUUUGCCUGUAUUCCCAGAUGCUUGGGAGGCUGAGCUGGGAGGACUGUUUGAGGCCAGGAGUUUGAGACAGCCUGGGCAGCACAGUGAGACACUGUGUCUAAAACAAUUAAAGAGAGAGAAAAAAGAAAUACUGCUUUAAGAAUGAGUGAAGGGGCAGAGCUUUAUUUUGCAUUGGGAAUGGGAAUUGCGGACAAACUGUUGUUUGGUUAUUUUUGCAGCAGUUUAAGUACUGUGGAAGAAAGACGAGAAAUUUCCCAAGUAUUUCAUGCAAGAGCACUAAAUACAGAUGAAAGAUCAUAUCUCAAUUCAAUUAAAUCCAAUCUCGAGUGAUGUAACAGUAUACUGGCUUUUGUGGCAUCAUAGAAAUAUUUAAAAAGUCUCCACACUUACAGAGCUUACAGUCUUAUCACAUAGACAAGCAUAUUAACGACAUGUUCCACAGCCAAGGAUAAUGACACAACCUCCAUUUGUAUUCAAUAGAUAUUAGAUUCCAUGAUUCACAAUGUUCAAGUUACUCUUGGUGAAGUGCAGUGAGAGCCACUUAAUUUCCUUCCUGCAACAUCUAAAUGUCCUAGGCUAACUCUGAGGGCCAAAUACCCAGUCCUCUUCAUUUUUUCCCAUUUAAAAAGUUAUCAUUUUGAUUGGAAAAUAUUUCCUAACUACUAUAAGCUCCUAAACACUGGGAUUGAUUUUUAUCCAUUUCUGACUCCUACUAAAUACCCCGUACACUGAGCUGUGCAUUAAAUGUUCAGUAAACUUCCUAAGAAGAAAAGAAAAUUUUUGUAUAAAGGAAUGAAGGAGAGAAUGUUUUAGUAACACACAUACACACACACACACGGACACACACACACACACUCUUAAAUGUACAGUUAAAAAAUUUAAGACCUGGACUAAAAAUCCCAGGUUCACCUCUUAAUAGCUUUGUGAUCUUGAACAAUCUUAGGAUUAUGAUUGUAAAAGGAUUGUGGGUUUUUCAUUCCCAAAAUGACAAAUGUAAGGGUAGAUACUUGAGAUAAUCUUUUGUGGGGUAGAUUACAUUAUAUAUGUGGAGUUCUUACAAUAAUAAUAAAUGCCCAGUAAUUAUUAACUACAUUGUUAGUUCCACCUCUCUAUGCCUUAAAAUAUUUUACACAACUAAUACUAAAAGUUGGAUAUAAUAAAACCAGAAAAAAAAGAGGCAAGAAUCAGUCUAUAAAGUUGACAUCUUACUUAUUCCAACUCUUUGACCAAAUAUGUGAAACUGGCUUGUAACUCAAAAAAAUCCCCAAAACCAGGUAAUAUUUCACUGGAAGAAGAUACUGAAUUAAUAAGAAUUUAGCUAAUAUUUAUUGUUUAUGUCAUUACUUGGGGGAUGUGACAAUAUCCUAAAACAGAUACUGAGCAACACUCAAAACACCAUUGCAAAGAAAUUGGAAAGAGUUGAUUCAGGUGUUUCAUUAAUAGGAAUGAAUAUGAAUAGCAGUUGACUUAGAUUUUUAUCAAGUCAUAGUAAAUGGCAUUCUCUAGGAAUCCAGAAAUAUGGUCCUAAAUCCUGCUGACUUGGUAACUGACAGAUUUUUCUGAAUUAUGAUGAAUGAAGAAGCUUCUCUUUUUUAAAAUUUUAAAAUUUUUUCAUCACCUCAAUUCUGAAGAAGCUUCACUCUAGAUGUUUAGUUCAAUAAAAUUAUGCUUUCUGACACCCAACUGUUUACCCUUAAAACUGUCCAAAGAUUCUAAAGUCUGCUGCCUUUAAAAUCUAAAUUAAGUCACUGGUUUAUUAAUCUCUUAGUUAGCUAUGCUAUGAAAUAUCAGCUCACUUUCUCAAACUGUUUUUAUUUGUGAUCCAAUGUCAUUCCCUCCAUCUAUGCCUCUUCCAAGGUUAUAAAAUUUGGCUGAAUUCAUACCCUUUGCCAAAGUUGUGACCUAGCCAGUUAUUGAACAUUUUCUAAAUUAGGAAGUAUCUAUAGCUUUAGUGCCUCCCUUUCAUGAAAGUUCCCCAUUUUUUAUGGUUUAAAAUUAAGUCACUACUCCAGACAUGGUACUGGUGACCCAGCUGGUUUCUUGGGCUCCCAUAAGAAAUUAUUUCUGUUGUCCUCCAGACCUCAGAUCCAGCAUUCUAUUGGGAUCUUGCUAAAUGCCCAUGUUACCUCCAAAUCCUAGCUGGUUGCCGACUCACAGGCAUUCAUAGCCAAUUUCAAUCUGGGCUUCACAUUUUCUCCUUACACACCAAAGCUGGCCUCGUAACACUGCCCAACCAAGGUCAGGAGAAAAGAGUCACACCAGUUGUACAGUCCUGUAGCCAACAGAGUCUCUGAGAUCUUAUUGGAGUCUGUAAGUUCACAGCACAACUCAAGGAUGAUGGCAGCCUUCCACCCAGAUUAUCAUUGCCUUUCCCGUGAUCUGGGCUUGGAAGUCUUGGGCUGACUCUUGUCUGAAUCAUGACUCAACUUAUAAUGAUGCCAGGUGCUGUGCCUCAGCUGCUCAGUGGCAUCUCUGAAGGUCUACAUUUAGCUCUGAGUAAAACCAGUUCACUUAGGUCCUUGCUGGUUCCAUAUUUGGGUCUUCAGUCAGUCCCAGGAUUUCCAGAGUGAGCUGACUUAUCAUGACUUGUGCUUCGAUACCAGAAAUGAAAAUAGCCAAGCAUCAGGUCAGCGUAAGGAGUUGGGGAAAGCAUUUAAGACCUCCCUGAAUGACUGUGUGAAUUAGGGUUAUGGUUGGAUAGGAUAUUGAAAUUAGCAUUCUAAGUGGAAGAACUACAUGAGGAAAGGCAGAUGAUAGUUUUUUUUUUUUUAAAGGAAAUCAAGCAGAACAAUUUUCCCAGGGGUUUCAAUUUGGAUUUAUGACGUUUAAUAAAAAUUCACAGGAAAUUUUAAAUGCAAAAAUCAAGAAUUUGAUAUUAUGUUAUUCUUCCAUGAGAGGCAUUGAAUAUUUUUAAGAGGCAAACAUGUAUUAAGGGUAUUUAAUUGGUGCCAGAGAACAAAGAGUAAGACCUGUAUGUAGUGAUUGUACUCCUUUUCCAGUAAGAGAGGCAGAUAUGUAAAUGAAUAAUUUUUAUGGUCAGUUAAAACUUUUUUAACUAAUGCAGUUUGGCCCAGAAGUUGGUUAAUUAACCCAAUUAUAAAAUUUGGUUAUAGGAGGGAAUUAAAAAAUACCUUUUAAUACUUAAAUUGAAAACAUGAAAUUGUGUGCUCAUUCACUGAUAUUUUGAUAUGAGUCAAGAUCUUUACUUUGAGUAAAGAUCUGCUUAUAAUUAUGCAUUGCUUUUUUUUUUUUUUACAAUAUGCCGCAUAAUGGAUGACAUAUGGUUUAAUGUUUUUGUUUUUCAAAAUGGAGUGAAAAAUCAAAGAAACUUGCAAAGUAAUUAGUGAAAAGUGUACUGGGUUUGUAUUAGUUUUAUAAACUAGCGUUUUAGUUAUCUUGCCAUCACUUAAGUCAACAAUGUUAUUUUUAGCAAUGCAUCUUUGUUCAGUUUUUAAAAAAUAUUCACAUGUAUUUUCAUAGAAACAACCCUUUUCACAUUUUUCAAAAUCACAUUCAGUACAUAAUUUAAUUAUGUAAUUAAAAUAGUAAGUAAAACUGAUUUGGGGAAAAAUGUUACCAACUUUUUGGUACACGUACCAGUAAACUGGCAGAAACAGAAGCUCAUGAUCAUGCUGGAACAGCUGAAAGGUGAGAAAGUCUAGAAUGCUUUGGGCAUCAGCCAUAAUAUUUUACAAAAGGAAUGGAUGAUAUAAAUGUAGUUUAGGUAAAUUAAUUGGAGUUUCAUUAAGAAAAGUUCUAUGUUACCAAAACUGAGACAUGCACAGAUGUUAUGCGAGCACAGUCAAAGAGCAAUUAAGUAUUUGUGAAAUCAAGAAGGCCCAGAUCAGAAUCCUGGGAAGCACCAAGUGUGGGAUGAAAGAUUUAAAAUUUGACUAUCUUGAUGAGUGUAAACAACAACAAACUUCCACUUAAAUAUCAACUCAUAAUUGAUUUCAGGAAAACUGAAAUAGAGGUAGAAGAGACAAAAAGGGGAGUCAGGGAGCCAUUGAAGAAAUUAUCUCUUCAGAAAAACAAAAACAAAAACAAAACAAAAAAAAGAAAUAUCUCUUCAAUUUCACCAUUUUACUCAAGAUCAAUUCUUCUCUGAAGUGCAGAAGUGGAGGUAAUUUAAAUACAAAUGUUUACGUUCUUUAUUUUUCAGCUACAGUUUCAACUUUAUCAACAAAGAUAGAAGGAAGGGAGAAGAUGCCUGAGAAGGAUAUGUUCUUCAGAAAGGCAACCAAGAAUCUUGACUAGCAUGAAAGUUGGUUCCAGGGAAAAGAAGCAAGUCUGGGAUUUACUUGGCAUAACUGGAGUUAAAAGCAGUGAAAAUGCAGUUGUGUCAGUGAUCGAAGGAUGACAGACUGUGGGGCCUCAACCAUGAACUUGGUGAUGAGCUAGAGUAGAUACCUUUCGAUCCCCUACAAGACCUGGCCCUAGGCCUUUGUUUUAUGUGAUAUAUCACUCUCCUUCUUCCCAAAGCAAAAUGAAAGGAGCAAUUAUAUCCUUGAUGAUUCUUAAUUGUCGCAAUUAACAAAGUCAGUUUCUGGAGUCUGAGCUGAAAAUGAAGCUUAGAAUGCACCUUCAAUACAUGAAAUUUGGUAUUUUACUAGAUAGAGAAUCCAGCCAGCUGGUUAUUUUCUUCCAGUACUCCAUGUUGUUCCACUGUCUUUUGGCUUAUGCCUUUCCUGAUUAGAAGUUUUCAGUCAUUCUUAUUUGUUUUCCUGCCAAUACCAGCCCUUGGUGUGUAACCCUGAGCCCUCAGUAAGGACCUCUGGCUACAAGUUUUCAGGAACGGGUUCAGAAUCCCACAUCACAUUCUGUUAUUACUUUUGACUGGUCUCCUGCUGUCUGGAACAGUUUCUCAGUCUUUCUUCAUUUUCAAGAGUGUGAAAAGAUAGCAAAACCAAAAGUCUGGGAACUGCUGGUUUAGAGUCACAAUACUGACUUCUCAGAAUGACUUUUUAAGAAGAAAGCCUUAAAAACCCUUGAUUGAAUGGUUGGUGUCUACAGACAAGCAAAUGUAUGGAAGAGUAACAAGACAUCCAGCCUGAAUCUGUUGAAUGAACAAAAGGGGAAAUGCCCUUAGGAGUCAGAUGGAAGAAGGUUUUCUGGGAAGAGCAGAACAGAGGAGUUGGGCCUCAGACCUCCUGGGUCACAAGCAGGAGGAGAAGAGUAGGGAGACUUUAAAGUGAUUGAGACGAAAAUGGAAGUAAAACAGCUUAAGGCUUUUUGAUACCGGGUUCCUGGCAGCGUCAUUAGCAGAUGGUUUCUUCUGAAGUUCAGGGGAAGAGAAGAUGGUUGAAGGACUCUCCAGGGACUGAGUGGGUGUUACGGAGCCAGUGCUGUAGAUGCUAUGUAUACAGGCGAAUUCCCCAGUGAGUGUUUUCCAAUAUCAAGUUUAACUGGCAUUGAAGUUGUAUACCAAAGGUAGGUAAAUUAUUUUGGCCUGUGCUUAUAGGUUUAUUUGACUCGAGGAAGCUACCUGUCUCUGUCCUACUGUGCUGUAGCAGAUGCAGGGUCUUUCCAUACAAUACAUUAAGAGCUACAUCUCAUUUUAAAUAUUUUAAAAGAAAACCUGAUCGUACAAGUCAAGAUUUUUAAGAUCAGCUUUCGGUCAAAUUUUUUUGCUUUAUUUUUUUCUGGAGAUCAAAAUGAAUGUUUAACUGUUUAAGUUGAUUGCAGAGAAAGUUGCUACUCAUUUAAAUGUAGGUUUUUAGAAAAAGUGUCCUUGCCAAUUGCUUCAGUUGACUUUUUCAAACUUGCAUGGGAAUCAAGAUUCAGAUGGGAAGAGCCUGGAAAAUAGGCAAUUGAUCAAGAAGGUGGCCCAGAUACUUUAAGACCUUUUUAGUGUAUUUGAAAGGUUAUAAGUUUGAACUAACAGAAACUUUAGUGCUGUUUUCUUUUCACAAGUCAAUGUGUAGUAUACCUUGUUAUUCUUUGUUUUCCUAUAAUAUCUUAAUAAUAUUCCUGGCUGUAAGGAAAAAUUAACAUUAUACAUACAUUUUGACUUAUUUUAUAGAUGACCCAAACAAUAUUUAACAAAAAGAUUUUUCUCAAAUACUAUUUGGAGAUAACUAUAUUAGACACCAUCUUAAAUUUAUUUCUCAACAUGCUUCUUUUUGAGACUUCCAGAUUUUGAUGCUCUUUUCAGCAUCACUCAUUUUCUUUCAUAAUAAAGAUACCCAAUUGAAAUAUCAUAAUAAAGAUCUGAUAACAAAUCUCCACUUUUGAAGUGUUACAUUUCAUAUCUAUGUGUCCACUAAGAAUUCAGUAUGAAGAUUGCAUAUACCAAUGAAUAUUCCCUAAGCUUAAAACCUCUAAGUCUAGGAUACUUGCAGUUAUUUAGCAAAUAAUUUAAUCCAUGGCAAACAUGAGUCUUAAUACAAAAAUUAUUGAGUAGGCAAAAAAUAAUUUAAUGUAUUUGGGACUGAUUACCAGUGCAUUAAAAAAGUAGAGGUUUAAGGAUGGGAAUAAUACGUUUUUUUGUUUUUACUUAAAUUUAUAUAAAAGGAAUGAAAAUACAGAAAAUACAGUAGCCUAUAGUACUUACUAGUGUGGUUAUAUUUUCAGCACUUAAUAAUUACUAGUUGAAUUAUGUAAUGUAGGACUAUAUCUGAUAUGGUUUUGCUCUGUUUACCCACCCAAAUCUCAUGUUGAAUUAAAAUUUCCAAUAUUCGGGGAGGUACCUAG